UGGGCAUAUCACUUUAAAGCACUAGUUCCCAUACAAUCACCGAAGUUAAGCAAGGUUGAGCUUGGUCAGUACCUAAAUAUUUGACCGCUUGGGAAUAUCA